GUUUUCCAAUAGUUAGAGGUCAUUGAUCCUGAAGGAAAAUUUUUUGCCUAAGAAUUGGAGCUGCCUGAUCUCUACAUAUUGCAAAUGGUCUGACCUUUUCAUUCAAUAGUCACUAGGCAUGGACAGCCUGGUUCUGAGUGUGCAAAGCUGUGGCUUCCCCUCCUAUAGACGCCUUCUGAACAGCAAAUCUGACUUCCUCCUCAGACCAAGGCAUCCUGAAAACAUCCAAGCAGAGGAAGCAUUUUUUCACCAUGACAUGGGAAAGGGCCACAGAGAUCCAAAUGGAAACGGACAUUUCAUACCAAUGCAUUGGAUGAUAACUGGUACAUCGUCAAGGGACAGAAGUGUCAACAGGUAAGUUCCAAUGUAAUUGCAGGAAAGAUAGAUGUUUGUCCAAUGUAAUUGCAGGAAAGAUAGAUUUAAGACUCAUGGAUUUGUGAUGUGAUUGGACUAUAAGAGGAAUCUAUUUGACAUUCCACAUUGCAAAUAGCCAGGGAUAAAGGAUAUAAUGUUGAGCUCUUUUGUUUUUAAAUCAGUGAAUGCCUUAAAAACAAAAGAAAUGAACCCUUUAAUCUAUGGAAUACAAGGGUCUAUCAACUAAAUGAUGACCACAGUUGGAAAGGUAGACAAAUCUAAGAUGCAAUUCCCACAAAAUUUUCCUGGGAAGAAAAUAAUGAAAUAUAAAAUAAAAUAUAAAAUAAUAAAAACA
rnacentral:lncRNA from 1 species